rnacentral:tRNA from 2 species
GGGGAUGUGGCUUACUGGUAGAGUGCUUACCUGGCAUGUGCAUGAGGCCCUGGGUUCAAUCCCCAGCACCUCA